CUUUGGGAAUACCUCCCUUUUUGGGGUUUGGAGACCCUUCCCUUUGGGUUUUGGGGAACCCCCCCUUUGGGAACCCCCUUUUUGGGGUUUGGAGACCCUUCCCUUUGGGCAACUCCCCUUUUAGGGACCCUUCCUUUUGGGAACCCCCUUUUUGGGGAACCCUCCAUUUAGGGGAACAUCCUUUUUUGGGGACACCCUCUUUGGAGAACCCUCCCUUUGGGAACCCCUCGUUUGUGGGACCCUCUGCACCCCAAAUGCACCCACACCCCCCAAUCCUUCCCCGUGCAUCCCCCAGCACGGUUUUUAACCCCAAAAUCCUUCCCAGGAGGGUUCAAAAAAAGCCUCGAGGGGGGAUUUCUUUUUGGAGAAGGGGUGUGGAAUUUUACUCACCAUCCCACCCCCACCCCCAGCAGUUCCCACGGGAUUUCAUUUGGGGGUUGGGGUUUUUUUCGGGGCGUUUUUUAUUCCCAUUCCCAAGAGGCCGUUCCAGUUUCCCCCCCGUCUCGCUCCGAGGGAGUUUUCAAGAUUCUUGUAUUUACUUGUUUUAUAUGGAAAAAAAAAACCAAACCAACUCAAACCCCCCCCUUUCUCUCCCACCCUCCCCUUCCCAACGUUCUUUGUACGCAGUUCUCGGGUCCUUUUCCAGGGGAGGGAGAUCUUUCCACAGAAAACAAAAAGUCCUGGUUCUCCAACUUUUUCUGGCCAAUUUUGGUUUUUAAUAUGAUUAUUUUUCUAUGGUUCGUGGUGAAGAUCUGUCGGUGGCUUUUCCAAGUCCGUGGUUUUUUUUUUUCUUUGGCGAUGGAAUGAGGUUCUUUUAGUCCCACAGGUUACCCCCCCCCCCCCCCCCAAAAAAAAAACACAAAAACACAAAACAGCCAAAAACGACAGGGGAUGGCCCCCCCCCCCCCCUCCUCCUUGUUUUCCCGGUGUCAUUAUUGCCUCAUUCAAUAAAUUGUUACAAAUGUGUCUA